rnacentral:rRNA from 1 species
AGUCGAGCGGACAGAAGGGAGCUUGCGUCCCGGAUGUUAGCGGCGGACGGGUGAGUAACACGUGGGUAACCUGCCUGUAAGACUGGGAUAACUCCGGGAAACCGGAGCUAAUACCGGAUAGUUCCUUGAACCGCAUGGUUCAAGGAUGAAAGACGGUUUCGGCUGUCACUUACAGAUGGACCCGCGGCGCAUUAGCUAGUUGGUGAGGUAACGGCUCACCAAGGCGACGAUGCGUAGCCGACCUGAGAGGGUGAUCGGCCACACUGGGACUGAGACACGGCCCAGACUCCUACGGGAGGCAGCAGUAGGGAAUCUUCCGCAAUGGACGAAAGUCUGACGGAGCAACGCCGCGUGAGUGAUGAAGGUUUUCGGAUCGUAAAGCUCUGUUGUUAGGGAAGAACAAGUGCAAGAGUAACUGCUUGCACCUUGACGGUACCUAACCAGAAAGCCACGGCUAACUACAUGCCAGCAGCCGCGGUAAUACGUAGGUGGCAAGCGUUGUCCGGAAUUAUUGGGCGUAAAGGGCUCGCAGGCGGUUUCUUAAGUCUGAUGUGAAAGCCCCCGGCUCAACCGGGGAGGGUCAUUGGAAACUGGGAAACUUGAGUGCAGAAGAGGAGAGUGGAAUUCCACGUGUAGCGGUGAAAUGCGUAGAGAUGUGGAGGAACACCAGUGGCGAAGGCGACUCUCUGGUCUGUAACUGACGCUGAGGAGCGAAAGCGUGCGGAGCGAACAGGAUUAGAUACCCUGGUAGUCCACGCCGUAAACGAUGAGUGCUAAGUGUUAGGGGGUUUCCGCCCCUUAGUGCUGCAGCUAACGCAUUAAGCACUCCGCCUGGGGAGUACUGUCGCAAGACUGAUACUCAAGGAAUUGACGGGGGCCCGCACAAGCGGUGGAGCAUGUGGUUUAAUUCGAAGCAACGCGAAGAACCUUACCAGGCUUGACAUCCUCUGACAACCCUAGAGAUAGGGCUUUCCUUCGGGACAGAGUGACAGUUGCUGCAUGGAUUGUCGUCUGCUCGUGUCGUGAGAUGUUGGGAUUCAAGACCCGCUACGAGCGCACCGUUGAUCUUACGUUGCCAGCAUUCAGCUUGUGCACUCUAUGGCGACUGGCGGGUGACAGCGGAGUAAGGUGGGGAUG